rnacentral:lncRNA from 1 species
CGAGGCAGAUGAAAUCGAACAACGGUAACAAAAUGGUAGCAGCAGAUGAAAUAGAACAAUUGUGGCACGCAGCUGAAACGAAGCAGUAGAUUAAAUCGAAGAACAGGGCUGCUCCUUGUCAAGAUCAAUCGAACAACGGUGAAAAAGUACAAUGCGUGCAGCGGUGAGGUGGUGGACACAGCUACAAUGACGGUUAACUGCAGCUGCUCCUUCUCGUUCUCCAGUUGAACCACUGGUCGAAAG